rnacentral:rRNA from 1 species
UACGUAGGGGGCAAGCGUUGUCCGGAUUUAUUGGGCGUAAAGAGCGUGUAGGCGGCCAGGUAGGUCCGUUGUGAAAACUCGAGGCUCAACCUCGAGAUGUCGAUGGAAACCAUCUGGCUAGAGUCCGGAAGAGGAGAGUGGAAUUCCUGGUGUAGCGGUGAAAUGCGCAGAUAUCAGGAAGAACACCCGUGGCGAAGGCGGCUCUCUGGGACGGUACUGACGCUGAGACGCGAAAGCGUGGGGAGCGAACAGG